rnacentral:rRNA from 1 species
UGGGGAAUAUUGCGCAAUGGGCGAAAGCCUGACGCAGCAACACCGCGUGAGGGAUGACGGCCUUCGGGUUGUAAACCUCUUUCAGCUCCGACGAAGCGAAAGUGACGGUAGGAGCAGAAGAAGCACCGGCUAACUACGUGCCAGCAGCCGCGGUAAUACGUAGGGUGCAAGCGUUGUCCGGAAUUAUUGGGCGUAAAGAGCUCGUAGGCGGUCCGUUGCGUCUGCCGUGAAAACCCGGAGCUCAACUCCGGGCCUGCGGUGGAUACGGGCGGACUAGAGUCCGGUAGGGGAGACUGGAAUUCCUGGUGUAGCGGUGGAAUGCGCAGAUAUCAGGAGGAACACCGGUGGCGAAGGCGGGUCUCUGGGCCGGAACUGACGCUGAGGAGCGAAAGCGUGGGGAGCAAACAGGAUUAGAUACCCUGGUAGUCCACACCGUAAACGAUGAAUGCCAGUCGUCGGGUAGCAUGCUAUUCGGUGACACACCUAACGGAUUAAGCAUUCCGCCUGGGGAGUACGGUCGC